UACGGAGGGUGCGAGCGUUAUCCGGAAUCACUGGGUUUAAAGGGUGCGUAGGUGGCUUAAUAAGUCAGCUGUGAAAUGUCUGGGCUUAACCGAGGCAUUGCGGUUGAUACUGUUAAGCUUGAAUCAAGUUGAGGUGGCUAGAAUGUGACAUGUAGCGGUGAAAUGCAUAGAUAUGUCAUAGAAUACCAAUUGCGAAGGCAGGUUGCUAGACUUUGAUUGACACUGAGGCACGAAAGCGUGGGGAUCAAACAGG
rnacentral:misc_RNA from 1 species